rnacentral:rRNA from 1 species
GGACUCGGGGGGAAGUAUGCUCGCAAGAGUGAAACUUAAAGGAAUUGACGGAAGGGCACCACCAGAUGUGGAGCCUGCGGCUCAAUUUAAGUCAACACGGGGAAACUUACCAGGUCCAGACAUAGGAAGGAUUGACAGAUUGAAGUUCUUUCUUGAUUCUAUGGAUAGUGGUGCAUGGCCGUUCUUAGUUGGUGGAGCGAUUUGUCUGGUUAAUUCCGAUAACGAACGAGACCUCAGCCUCCAAAUAGCCGCCGUUACUCUAGCGUCGCGGCUUCUUAGAGGGACGAUCUGCGCCAGCAGAAGGAAGUUCGAGGCAAUAACAGGUCAGUGAUGCCCUUAGAAGGUCUGGGAUGCACGCGCGCUACAAUGACACGCUCAGCAAGUCCGACCGGGUCCGAAAGGACUCGGAAAUCGCGAACGCGUGUCUCAGUGGGGACAGGAGAUUGCAAUUAUUCUCCUCGAACAAGGAAUAUCUAGUAAACGCAAGUCAUCAGCUUGCAUUGACUACGUCCCUGCCCUUUGUACACACCGCCCGUCGCUCCUACCGAUUGAAUGCCGAGGUGAAUUGAGCAGAGACGCUUCGGCGCCGAAGUUCCGUGAACCUCGUUAUUUAGAGGAAGAACAAGUCGUAACAAGG